rnacentral:rRNA from 1 species
UCCUACGGGAGGCAGCAGUAGGGAAUCUUCCGCAAUGGACGAAAGUCUGACGGAGCAACGCCGCGUGAGUGAUGAAGGCUUUCGGGUCGUAAAACUCUGUUGUUAGGGAAGAACAAGUGCUAGUUGAAUAAGCUGGCACCUUGACGGUACCUAACCAGAAAGCCACGGCUAACUACGUGCCAGCAGCCGCGGUAAUACGUAGGUGGCAAGCGUUAUCCGGAAUUAUUGGGCGUAAAGCGCGCGCAGGUGGUUUCUUAAGUCUGAUGUGAAAGCCCACGGCUCAACCGUGGAGGGUCAUUGGAAACUGGGGGACUUGAGUGCAGAAGAGGAAAGUGGAAUUCCAUGUGUAGCGGUGAAAUGCGUAGAGAUAUGGAGGAACACCAGUGGCGAAGGCGACUUUCUGGUCUGUAACUGACACUGAGGCGCGAAAGCGUGGGGAGCAAACAGGAUUAGAUACCCUGGUAGUCCACGCCGUAAACGAUGAGUGCUAAGUGUUAGAGGGUUUCCGCCCCUUAGUGCUGAAGUUAACGCAUUAAGCACUCCGCCUGGGGAGUACGGCCGCAAGGCUGAAACUCAAAUGAAUUGACGGA